rnacentral:misc_RNA from 1 species
GCGUUGUUGUUGUUGUUCUUGGCGUAGCUGCUGCCGUUGCCCAUGAAGCUGCUGCUGCUGGUGUUGUACACGGUCUUGUUGUCGGUGUUGGGGAGGUUGUUGUUGUUGUAGCGGUCGGCCUUGUUGGUGCCGCCGCCUCCGGCGCCGCCGCCGAAGGCCAGCUUCCCGGAGCCGAUGAGGCCGGGCCCUCCGUCGUUGAGCUUGAGCCCGACGACGGCGUUGCUCUUGGCGGCGGCGUCGGCGGGCGACGCGGAGGCGGCGAAGAGGACGUCGUUGCUGUUGUUGCGCCGGCCGGCGGGGGACCAGAUGGAGUCGCCGAGGGAGAGGCCCGAGAAGGCGGCCGUCUGCAGGCGCAGCUGGUCGCUGAACUGGUAGAACUCGCGGUCGUAGCCUUCCAUGGCCGUGUUUUGCUUUUUGCCGGGGCGGGGGCGGAGGCGGGGGGAGGGAGACGCGAAGCAGUGCAGACGCAGACGCAGACGCAGAGCAGUGGAAAAGGAGGAGCAGAGCUUGAGGUGCCGUGCGCCGCGUGGGCCGAGUGCCGAGGGGGAGGUUUUAUCACCGCUUCCUUCAAUUCAGUUGGUGGUGCGUCUCGUUCCCGUCCCGCCAGUGGUGAUUGUGACUAGCGCCGACUCGACUGGGCCGGGUGCGUUCGGCGUCAGUUGGCAUGGCACGGAGGCCGUAGACGUGGCCCCCGGUGCCGGGAGCGGGAGGGAAGCUUCGGGGAAGGUCGCGCAACCGCGUCGCGGCCGUGGCAACGAGACGUGGAUGUCCCGGCACGCGGGGCACCCCCUGCCCAG